ensembl:snoRNA SNORA70 Small nucleolar RNA SNORA70
CUGCAGCUAAUUAAGCCAACCAUGCUCUUUUCCUCGUGGGGACCUGGUGUGCAGUGGCUCCAAAGCCUCCUUGGUAGUGUAUGCAGCCUGUUGCUCAUAUAGGUUGCUCUAAGGGACCUUGGAGACAUUC